GGAAGGAGGGAGGGAGGGAAGGAAGGAAGGAGGGAGGGAAGGAGGGAGGGAGGGAAGGAAGGAAGGAGGGAGGGAGGGAAGGAAGGAGGGAGGGAGGGAGGGAAGGAAGGAGGGGGGGAAGGAAGGAAGGAGGGAGGGAGGGAAGGAAGGAGGGAGGGAGGGAGGGAAGGAAGGAGGGAGGGAGGGAGGGAAGGAAGGAGGGGGGAAGGAAGGAGGGAAGGAGGGAGGGAAGGAGGGAGGGAGGGAGGGAAGGAAGGCAGGCAGGCAUGCCUAUGUGAUGAUUGCUAAAGUAGCAGAAUCUUAACUUCUCCAUCGCAAGUGAGUGGACUGUGCUGAGGCCCAUUCAGCCUGGAGUUCAUGUUCAGAGGCCUGUGGGAGCCUCUCAGGUGGCUGGCCCUUACCUGGCAGCAGAAGCAGCAACCAAGCAGGUGGCAGGGCAGAGACAGGGUAGGGGAUAGGAACGGAAAGGGAUGGAGAAAGAAGAAUGAAGGUAGUAAAAGUAGACUCAGGACAGAGUGAACAUUUGCUGAAACAUCAACAGAUUAGCAGUCCCUGUGAUGGCUGAAAAGUUCAAGGGCAAAGGUCAGCUGAAAAAUUGAUGCCAGAUUCUCUAAACGAAUGUUCCAUCCACCUAAGCUUGAACAUCCCACAGGUGGGUGAUAAUGGGCACAUAAGAACUCCCAUGGCCAGAACUGAAACUUCUCAUUCAAGUGCAAACCGGUCAAUUUCUUUCCUUUGUUCACUCUGCUCUCCUAAAACCGUCAUCCCAGUCUGCCUGCUGCAAAACUUGCCAAGUCAUGAGAGGUAAGCUGUAAAAAGUUGAACACUAGACUUUUCGGGCUUUAUAAAUAGGUUUGUUUCCAGAUAUGCUGUGUUAAAGACAAUUUAGCUACGUGUCAUUUCUCUGACAGCCAACUCCCAGGUUGUGAACCCCUCAGACAUGUCCAGCUCUUUUCUUACAACCAAACUUGUCUUCUUAGGCACUUCUGAGUGAGGAGGUCUAGGGAGAAAAAGAAAAAGAGAGAAAAUAUGCACACACAGGCUCACAGACACAAAAUCCGGCAUCCCUGGAGGACAGCAGCCUGCUGCACAGUAGGGACCAAGAGAUACAAGGCUGCCCAUGUAACAGAUGCAAGUUUCCCGUGCUCCAGUUCAGCUGGGAAUGCAGGCUGUAAAGCUGAAAUAAAUCACAUGGAACGUGCUGUCAUCUCCCUACCUUCCCGCUAAACCCGUCCACACUGCCGCU
rnacentral:lncRNA from 1 species